UUUAAACAAUUAUUUUGUCUGUGCAGCUGGAAGGCUUUUUGCUCUCCUUAUUUCCACUUUUGGACAGUUGUUAUGAUUCAUAACCAUGGCAACAACAUGUUGUUUACACAACUAGGAGCACCCAAUUAGCUUCUCAAAAGAUGAAAAAAAUACCUGAACUACGACCCAAAAUCCCAGAGGAGUUGAGAAGAAAGUUUGUGGAUGCAGAGCAAAGAGAGGAAGAGGAAGUUCAAACCAUCUCUUUCAAUCACAACGGGCGACUCCAACAUCUCUCUGCUCGGCAUUUUAACCAAACAACCAGAAAAAGAUUUAAGGAGGAGAGGUAAAGCAAACGAGGGCGAUGGGACUCAGCCUUAGACAGAAGUUGAUUUGCUCUGUUGGCAGGAAGGAGUUUGCGGUAGAGCUGCUUCUUCUCCAUGUUGCAAGAACUCCUUUGAGGCGGGUAAAUCGAUAAGAACUGACCAGAGUGAUGACAGAACAUCAUCAGAGUGGAAGAUUGAUGACUCCUCGUACAAAGCAGGUCACUAUGGCAACAAGAGGUGGGGCUCAAUAAAACAUUAA